rnacentral:rRNA from 1 species
GUGGGGAAUAUUGGGCAAUGGGCGGAAGCCUGACCCAGCGACGCCGCGUGGGGGAAGAAGUCUUUCGGGAUGUAAACCCUUGUUGUACGGGACGAAGGAAGUGACGGUACCGUACGAGGAAGCCCCGGCAAACUACGUGCCAGCAGCCGCGGUAAUACGUAGGGGGCGAGCGUUGUCCGGAAUCACUGGGCGUAAAGCGCACGUAGGCGGGCUGUCAAGUCGGCCGUGAAAGGCACGGGCUCAACCUGUGCAUGUCGGUCGAUACUGGCGGUCUGGAGUAUGGGAGAGGGGUGUGGAAUUCCAGGUGUAGCGGUGAAAUGCGUAGAUAUCUGGAGGAACAUCAGUGGCGAAGGCGACACCCUGGACCGAUACUGACACUGAGGUGCGAAAGCGUGGGUAGCGAACAGGAUUAGAAACCCGGGUAGUCC